GAAGGAAGGCAGAGGAGGGCAGCUGAGAACAGGCAAGACUGGGUGAGGCUAGGUGAGGCUAGGUGAGGCAGAUGCCUCAUCCUGCCCGUGGCCUCUUUCCCCCCAGGGCCACGCUGGUAUAAAUCCUCUCUCUCCAUGUCUCCUGCAGCUCCUUCAGGCACUGUGAGGCCACGCUGAGGGCGCCCCAAAGGCUCUCCUGCCCAGGUGCAGGUGGUGUUUGUGUGAUGCUCCAGCCCCGAGCUCCGUGUCCUGCCCCCCGGAAUGUGGGAGCCAGAGAGCAGCUGGGAGAAGAGAAAUUACCAAAGCCUGAUCCAUAGUGACAGUUCCACCAGGUUCAUCUUCAUCCUGGGGCUCGUGGGACCUCUCCUAUGUCAGUUAAGUUGCAAAGGUUUUAUUUUUCUUUGAGGAUUUGUGGGAGCAGGCUCUGUAUUGGGCAGUGGCUCCUGCUCUGAUCUCCACUGGAAUGAUGCAGCAGGCUGGGGCAGUGCCCUGGUUAAGUGCCUGGUGAUUUUUCCCCCUGGGAAUGUCUGGGAGAAGACUGAGAAGUCUGCUCUGAUAUCUCAAUUUACAGGAGUGACACUAAACCUCUCCUUAUACAAUCCUUCAUUUUGUAUUCACCUUUUAAACAAAGGUAUUGACAUAAAAUUGGUCACUCCAUUGUUUAAAGGAGGGAGUUUUAAUGAGUGUUAUCUUAGUUCUGCAGGGCUCUAGCCUUUAAAUAAAAAGAAUCUUUUUCACUCAUCAUUUAUCAGCAAUGAAUAUUUAAUGUAGUCCUGCUGCCUAAGGAAGAAUUUGUAUGAAAGGGAUGAAAAGAAACAUUUAUUUUAAAAAAACAAGAUAUUUACUCCUCAAAGCUGAGUCACUGAAUUUAUGGGCCAAGAAGUUGUCUCAAAGACACAAAUGUCUUUAGUUUAUUUUUUAUAUUGAAUCACAAACAAUUUUGAGUGGCAGGAUGACUGUUUGCACAGGCAGGGAGCUUUUAUAAAUGUGCAGCCAGGAUGUUCUGAAGUUCAAUUGCUGCCUGGAAAGAAUAUCCAAUACAGGAAUAACCCAAAUUUCUCACACAAUUCUCUCUGAUCCCAGUUCUGCAUCCCCAGGUGCUGAAGGCAGCACAGCUCAGUGCCCCAGGCCUGACUGGGGGUAAUUCAGUGCUGAGAAUUUAAUGCUGCUCAGUGCCUCUGGUGUCAAGGCUGGAAUUCCAAUCUGCCCUGGAUUCAGAGAUUUCCUUGGGAUUUUGGCUUGAAAAAGCUCUGGAAGCAUUGAUAUGAUUUCUUUUCAUUUUCCCAAGCAAUCUGCCUGCUUUCAGCACCACAGCUGUUCCCAGGCAUAGCUGCCACCUGAUGGAAUAACCCUGGGCUGGAAUAUCAAAGGGGGAGCUGUGGAAUACAUUGAAAUGCCAGACUGCAAAAAGAAUAAUUUUGCCUGGGAAACUCAUGGAAUUGCUGAGAAUGCCAAGGAAACUCUGCUACAUCUAAGUAGAUUUGUUCAGACCUGGGGCUGUGGUGCUGCAGAAAUAACAUUUACCAGCUUGGCAAAUGUUUUGUGCUUGGAUCCACAGAAAUCCAGAGCUGCUUUGCCAAUGCCCUCCUGCAGAGUCAUGGAAUUACUGAGGGGAACAGGGGGCAGAGAAAUAGAAACAGAAACAGCGGUGAUGCAGAUGUGAGGGUGUGAUUUGGGUUACUGGGGCAAACAGGAGGUGUGAGAAGGAGAAGCUGAGGAAGAAGCCUGUCCUUGCAGGAAGGGGAGCUCUCUCAGCUGGACAGCCCAGGGACAAGUGGAGAGCUUGGAAAACAUCAGCACCUUUUGGAUUCUACAGUUUGCCUCUCCCAGGAAUUGAUUUCAUACCACUGGGUGCUUUCUAAAGGGCUUUUAAAAGCAUUUCACUGAAUUUUGUGUCUUCAAGACACAAAGCAAAAAAUUCCUGCUAUGAAGAGUGCAGCUCACAGCUCCUUAGGAAUUCUUUCCCCUCUGCUGCAGUUGAGAGCAGCUGCAUUGUGCAUGUCAGGAAAGGGACUUUUCCCACCUGUCCUAGUGAGCAAUGCUUGAAUCAUGCCUGACAUCCUCAAUUGGCUCUGCACUGAUACAUAGAGAUAAAAAUACAGGGCUUGGACAGGACUGCAUCAUAAAUUUAAAAAGAAAAAUCAGGGACAAGGGAUAAACCAGGCUAUUCCUAGUCAGCAAAGCAAAGGGAAAAUACUCCCAGUGGAAAUGUAUUUGGAUCCUGGGUGCUGUGGAUCCCUCUGUCCCCCUUUUUCAGCUAGAGGGUUUCUGACAGAAACAGGAUUCCAGCAGUUUUCUGGCACUGCCAAGAGCUCACCCCUGCAGCUCUUCCUGCCCUCGGCUCUGGGUGCCAGUGCCCCCAAACUGGGGGUGUUGGGGUGACAACCUGGGCUGGGCUGGGCUGGGGUCCCCAGCUCUGGUUUGUCCCCAGCUCUGGCUUUGUCUCCAGCUCUGGUUUGUCCCCAGCUCUGGCUUUGUCUCCAGCACUGCUUUAUCCCCCAGCUCUGGCUUGUCCCCCAGUUCUGGGUUUGUCCCCAGCACUGGUUUGGUCCCCAGAACUGGUUUGUCCCCAGCACUGGUUUGGUCCCCAGAACUGGUUGGUCCCCAGCUCUUGUUGGUCCCCAGCACUGAGUUUGUCCCCCAGUUCUGCUUUGUCCCUAGCUCUGAGUUUGUCCCCAGCUCUGGUUUGUCCCCAGCACUGGUUUGUCCCCAGCACUGGUUUGUCCCCAGCCCUGGUGCUGUGCUGGAGGCUCCAGCCUGUCACCCACUGGCUGCCUUGGCACAGUUUACACAGGAGAUAAAAUCGUAUCCUGGCAAGCAAUCAGUUCUCCCUCAGAUGGUUUAACAGCCUCUCACUAAAGCUCCCAGAGAGCCCAGGAGAUUUGAAACAACUCCUCAAAGGGAAAGCUGACACUUUUAUGGGAGCUGGUUGGUGUGUCCCUUUGUUCCUGCCGUGUUUUUGCUGGGCUGCUCCACACCUGAGCUGGGUGAGGAGUGUCAGUCCUGGCUCCAGCCACCCACACACAUGAUCUGCUGUCUUCACAGCUGCUUUUUUUCCUUCAGUAAUUCAAAAUCAAGGAGGGCAUCUGCUUUAUCAGGGGAUCAUGACCUACUGUUACAAAUCUCAAACUGCUACAUAUGGUGGAAAUACUUUUCUAUCCACAGCUGGGUAUUUUUGCUUGUUUUAUGUUAUUAACUUCCUUUAGGAGCCAGCACAAGGACUUAACUUCAGUAGUCAAAGAGAACUUUACUCACGGUUUUCCUUCUGUUUUUUACAUCCUUAAUGUGACCUUUAUGCAAGUCUUGAGUCAUAAAGAUUUUAAAAUUCAGUAUAAUAAGCUAGAGAUGACAAAGUUGCCCUGCAGUAGCUGAAGCAGUAAAGAUUCUUAAUAAUAGACAAAAAUUAUAGCUUUAUAAUACUCCACCAGGACCAGGCUGCUGAAGUCAGUUUAGUUUUCUACAACAAUCUCUAAAAAUAUUCGCUUACCACUCAAUCAGAAAUGUUUUGGUUCGGUAACUAAGUAAACACAAAUACAGAACAUUAAUAAAGGCUUUUUCUCCCCUUU